rnacentral:rRNA from 1 species
AACGAACGUUGGCGGCGUGGAUGAGGCAUGCAAGUCGAACGCGAGAACCCUCGGGUGAGUAGCGUGGCGAACGGGCGAGUAACACGUAAUCAAGCUGCCUCCCAGACGGGGAUAACUUCGGGAAACCGAAGCUAAGACCCGAUGGUCUCACUAGAUCGCAUGGUCAUGUGAGUACAUGGACGGGAUCCUUCGGGAUCGUCUGCUGGGAGAGGUGAUUGCGGCCCAUCAGUUUGUUGGUAGGGUAACGGCCUACCAAGACUACGACGGGUAGCCGGCCUAAGAGGGUGGUCGGUCGCACUGGGACUGAGACACUGCCCAG